GGACUAGACAUGCUAGUUUAGCGUCUUCAAGCUAUGAUGGAGACGCGGCGCACAGCUCAGUAACACGUGGCCAACCUGCCCUUAGGACAAGUAUAACCCCGGGAAACUGGGGAUAAUCCUUGAUAGGUGAGGAAUUCUGGAAUGAGUCUUUGCUUAAAGGACGUGCAGAUCACGCUUCUGUGCGUUGCCUAAGGAUGGGGCCGCGGCCGAUCAGGUUGUUGGUGAGGUAACGGCUCACCAAGCCUAUAACCGGUACGGGCCGUGAAAGCGGAAGCCCGGAGAUGGGCACUGAGACAAGGGCCCAGGCCCUACGGGGCGCAGCAGUCGCGAAAACUCCGCAAUACGCGAAAGCGUGACGGGGCUAUCCCGAGUGCUAUUCGAUGAGAGUAGCUUUUCCUCAGUGUAAAGUGCUGGGGGAAUAAGGAGGGGGCAAGACUGGUGUCAGCCGCCGCGGUAAUACCAGCUCUCCGAGUGAUAGGGACGUUUAUUGGGCCUAAAGCAUCCGUAGCUUGCUGAGUCUGUCCUCCGUUAAAUCCAACGAUUUAAUCGUUGGGCUGCGGGGGAUACUGCUUAGCUAGGAGGCGGGAGAGGCCGACGGUAUUUCCGGGGUAGGGGUGAAAAUCCUAUAAUCCCGGGACGACCACCAGUGGCGAAGGCUGUCGGCUAGAACGCGCCUCGACGGUGAGGGAUGAAAGCUGGGGGAGCAACCGGAAUUAAAUACCCNGGUAGUCCAGCUNUAAACGAUGCAGGCUAGGUGUUGGUGUGGCUACNANCCGCUCCAAUGCCCCAGGGAA
rnacentral:rRNA from 1 species